GGGUCAGGAUGGGGUCCUGGUGGCCCUCGCGGACUUCAAAUCCGGCUGCGAGGCACUAGUAAUGUCUUGGGUGAGUUCGAUUCUCACACUGGCCCGCCA
rnacentral:tRNA from 1 species